AGAGUUUGAUCCUGGCUCAGAGCGAACGCUGGCGGCAGGCUUAACACAUGCAAGUCGAGCGGGCCCUUCGGGGUCAGCGGCGGACGGGUGAGUAACGCGUGGGAACGUGCCUUCUGGUCUGGAAUAACCCUGGGAAACUAGGGCUAAUACCGGAUACGCCCUUUUGGGGAAAGGUUUACUGCCGGAAGAUCGGCCCGCGUCUGAUUAGCUAGUUGGUGGGGUAACGGCCUACCAAGGCGACGAUCAGUAGCUGGUCUGAGAGGAUGAUCAGCCACACUGGGACUGAGACACGGCCCAGACUCCUACGGGAGGCAGCAGUGGGGAAUAUUGGACAAUGGGCGCAAGCCUGAUCCAGCCAUGCCGCGUGAGUGAUGAAGGCCUUAGGGUUGUAAAGCUCUUUUAUCCGGGACGAUAAUGACGUACCGGAGAA
rnacentral:rRNA from 1 species